rnacentral:rRNA from 1 species
AUACGAAGGGGGCAAGCGUUGUUCGGAAUUACUGGGCGUAAAGCGCACGUAGGUGGAUUGGUCAGUUGAGGGUGAAAUCCCAGGGCUCAACCCUGGAACUGCCUUCAAUACUGCCAAUCUUGAGUCCGAGAGAGGUGAGUGGAAUUCCUAGUGUAGAGGUGAAAUUCGUAGAUAUUAGGAAGAACACCAGUGGCGAAGGCGGCUCACUGGCUCGGUACUGACGCUGAGGUGCGAAAGCAUGGGGAGCAAACAGGAUUAGAAACCCCUGUAGUCC